GCUGCGUCUCACGAAUAGAGAAACCGAGUCCAAGCGAGGGGGAGAGACGCGUCCAGAUCUCUGGGCUCUGGGUCCAGCCCCGGCUUUCUGCCAGGAUGUGGGUGCUGGAGGGAGGCGGUUGUCUUUCGUCUCCCUCCUCUCCUCACCCCUAAGCAGGCGCGGAGGCCCGGCAGGGCAGGUUCCCGCGAGGAGUAAGUGAUGAGGUGGAGAAGAGGAGGCGUCAGCUGCCCAGGGCCCUGCGUCUGCCUCUGCUAAAUACCUCUGAGAAACUCGGCUUCCAGCUGAAGGGGACCCGUGUGGCCCCAAGAACCCCCUGGAGUCCCUGGGUGAGAUGGACUGGACCAAUCACAGCUUUCGGGACUUGGGAGCCGGCCGUGCCUCCCUGGAGAGCCUCAUCCGGGUGCUCCCAGCAGGAAACAGCACCACCCUGAAGCCAGAGAUGAGCAUCGGCAUAGCAGCCACGGCCCUCUCUGGAUCUAUUGGAGGUAUGGCCCUCGUCUUGCUCCUGAUGGGGGUCUCAAUUGUGAUCUUGAAGAAAUGGAGGCGUGAGAGACUUUCCCUGCCAAGCUGAGCCUGUGUACUGCAACGUGAUCAGCCUGGCCCCCUGGAAGGAGGAUGACUUUGCCAUCUAUGCCAACGUGCCCCGUUUUGGUUGCCCCAGGAGGACAAUGCCAGACCAAGUGGAAUAUGCCUCUAUUGUGUUCCGCUGAUGGGGCCUCGGCGUGUGGAGUGGCAGGGACAUAUGGGGUCCAGACACCACUCUCGCUGUCAUCUCUGUGUACACAUGUGUGCUUUUAAAUAAUAAAACACAAAACAUAUGUGGG
rnacentral:lncRNA from 1 species